rnacentral:rRNA from 1 species
AUUGAACGCUGGCGGCGUGCUUAACACAUGCAAGUCGAUCGGUAACGCGGGGGCAACCCUGGCGACGAGAGGCGGACGGGUGAGGAACGCUUGGGAAUCUGCCUAUCAGCGGGGGACAACCCGGGGAAACUCGGGCUAAUACCGCAUACGCUCUACGGAGGAAAGCCGGGGACCGCAAGGCCUGGCACUGAUAGAUGAGCCCAAGUCGGAUUAGCUAGUUGGCGGGGUAACGGCCCACCAAGGCGACGAUCCGUAGCUGGUCUGAGAGGACGAUCAGCCACACUGGGACUGAGACACGGCCCAGACUCCUACGGGAGGCAGCAGUGGGGAAUAUUGGACAAUGGGGGAAACCCUGAUCCAGCGACGCCGCGUGGGUGAAGAAGGCCUGCGGGUUGUAAAGCCCUUUCGGUAGGGACGAAAGCUCUCGACCUACCACGUCGGGAGGUUGACUUAACCUACAAAAGAAGCACCGGCUAACUCUGUGCCAGCAGCCGCCGUAAGAC